rnacentral:lncRNA from 1 species
UGUUUCUGCUGUGGGAUGCUGUGGGGACAGUCCGAGUUGGACCAGCCAGGUCCCUAAAUAGUCUUUGACGUUCAUCAACAUAAUACUGUGACCAUUUGUGUCAGAUUGUAAAGUUGGAUGUCUCAGGAUUUCAGAAAAUCUGCUUCCUGGUUUUCGCAUAUACGGACUCAGACCCAGGUCAGGCAGCAUCUAGGCUCCCCUCUCCCUUUGUGCCAUGAAGGGUGUGAGCCCCACCGAAAUGCUUCUGCAGUACGACUGAUCAGGCCUUCCUCCCCCUCCCCGGCUCUGAGCACUCCUACAUCUCCUCCCAAAGCCACGGAGAAAAACUGA